GUUAUUCCAGGGUUGGGAAUCUUCCGAAGCAAAAAAACAAUCAUUCGACCGCAGCAUCGUGGCUCUCUGAGCGUCCAUGGUCCUCUCAGUCAUGCUGGCUCAGACUCUCCUCACAUAGAAAUCUGUUUUUAAGGACAGCACUUCUACACACAGGUGAUCUCCAUUCAACUAAUUGUGUGCUGUUAAAAACAUUAUUGGCCUCACUAGUGCUGAUUUUAUGUCGGCACAGGGGGCUUACGCAAUCAAUCAUUUCGUGUUCUCUGUUUGUUCCUAAUUCAGAUCAGCAUGUGGAGCUUUGUUUUCACACCGCAGUGAAUCGUCCUCUUUGCUGAUCAGCUUUGUUUAGAUGGAACAACUCAGUCAUGAGGAGACUCAGCGCUGCAGAAGUUACUUCAGGCCACUGUGCGUUCAGCUUCGUGUGAUACUAAGCUGUGAGGAGAGCAGCGCUGGAGCUGAACGCUCCUCGAAACAAAGCACCUGUCCUGCCCGAGUGUUGACCUUUGACCUUGUCUUUUCAAAAAGGGAGAUUUCCUGAAUCAUGACAAACAGCUGUUGUGGCUCCUGCUGUAUAUUUAAAGGUGGCGCCGCCCUCCCUACCUCCAACUACAGGCCCAACAGUGCUCAAUGUAUCAAAGGUACUUUUAAAAACACUGCAACUACAAUUACACGUGUGAUAUUUCACAAUUUUAUUUACAUAACUUAAAAAAUGUCAUUUACAGUGUUCCAACAGAUUAAAAUGACCCGACACUGAAAACAGAAAAUAUUUACAUGAAGUGAGAGAUGAGUGCAAAAAUCUUACAGCGUUCGAACGUGGAGAUCUUUUUUUUUUUUUUUUUAAAGAUGUGAAGAAUGAUGAUGUUUGAGGAAAAAUAUCAGCUGCAUUCACAGGAUAUCUCCAGUAUCUCCAACACAGGAAACCACGAGUAACUGCAGUUUGCUAGUGCAAUGCAUUUUAAGUGUCGCAGUGUUUUUUUUAUACACAAACAUGAGACGGUGAGAGAUUAUUAACUGUGCAUUUGGCAAAAUAUCUGACUACACGUUACAGUGAAAGAUGACAGAAACCAGUUUCACCUGCACUUCUUCCUGUUUCUCUACCAGCUUCAGUUUCCACAUGCAGCAGCUGUUGUGCAUCUGUCUGUAUAACACGUGAGCAUUAACAGCAAACUUUUAAUUUCCAACAUUUGACUGAACUUUUGUAAAGUAAUGUGUCAUGUAUAUUGACCUCAGUAAGCCUGCACAGUUGACUCAACGUACAGACAAAAUAAAGUAAAAACAGUUGGAAUCAUCCACAAGAACAGCUAUCUGUUGUCAGUGAGAACCCCAGCACAUUUUCAUGCUUAUUUCAUAUACAUAUAUAAAACCUCUCUAUUGUCUAUUGUCUAGUGCCACCAUAAAAAGCUACGUAGCCAUGGUAACCAUCUGACCCCAAAUAAUUCAUUUACCUUGCGAUAAAGGGGAAAGCUGCACGGCUCCCAGAUGACAGGAUGUCUGUGAAAGCACCGCUCCACAGGAAACCAAACCUAUCUAUAUAUCAGCAUGACGGAGCCAAACCACCAGUUAAGUCAAACCGACUAGAAAGACGUAAUUACUGGCUUCUCGUCGCCCUGCACAGCUCCAUCUGCAGAAUCUCAACAGGAGACGGCGGCAGAGUGAUUGGGAUUGAUCUGAUGGUUGUGUGGGUAGAGUCAUCGUUGGUGUAAUGAAGACAACACUUCCUGCCUGUUAGCAGAUGGGAUGAGGACGUGUUGCACAGUGAGCUUGGGCAGGCAAACGUGCUAUGAACCACGGUAUCUCAGAUAUUCUAUCUUGGAGAGCGAAGCGGUGUGAGGCGGAAGAGGGCACGACGCCAUCCAGCCACGUCUCCAGAGCUUUGCCUCAGAUGUAGAGCGAACCGUCAGCGGGUCCCACAUAACCGACUCCUAUCAGAAGAACA